UCUCUAUGGUGAGCCCUGGAAGGAGCGCCGCUCCAGUUCCGGCCGCCGCCGGGGCUCAGGGCGGCUGCGCGGGGCCUUACGCUUGGCCCCGCCCUUACCGGCCGCCCGGGGGCACCGCUGCCGUUGGGUGCCGCUCACCCUUCCCGCCGUGGCGCUGCCGCGGUGCCUGCCUGCGCCCGGCCUUCUUGAGGAGCCCACGCGGGAGUGAAGAUUAUGCAGGAAGCUUAAGGUCAAGUUCAACAUUUAACUGCUGAGCUCCUCUUCAACAUAAUGGAACACAGAAGACGCGUUAUUUCAGUUUGGUGCAGCACAUGUGGAAACACUGGCUUCCUGCUAGGACAGUGGUUUCUGUUUCGGCUUUGUUCUGACUUGGUGGGUCUGUUCUUGCAGCUGGUGAUGGAGAACUCCUGAGUUCACAGCAGCUCCCAAACGACACAGACUAAGUCACUAAUGUCAGAAACGUACAUGUCUUAACAACAUACCUAAAAAACAAGGGACUGAGUAAUUUAAGAAGCUUGUACUUUGUUUUCUGCUCAUUAGCUUUAUCUUGGUAUCUGUAGGUCAGCAGGACAGAGCUCCUGAAGCAGCAGGGUGGCAGCUUCUGGUCUGAACAUCAGCUGCUAAACUGGGGACCUUCAGGUCCAGUAAACUCUAACUUGGUUGCAGCUAGUCUGUAGUUUGGAGCCAUGUGUGAUUCCCAACUCCUGUGCCAGAACAGCUGCUCCUGGGAUGGUGUUGGUGCUGCUGAGCAAUGAGAAUCCUGACAAUAUGGAAGGAACCCAAGGGGGGCUGUGGAGGCUGGAAAAAAAACAGGUUCCCCAGGGCUCUGUUCUGAUCCAUGGUGGACUGUGCAAGAACCUGUGGUCACUUCCCAAGAAAUGACUGUCAUCAUCUGUCUGUGAACUGCUUUGGAAUGCUUUCCUCUUUUCAGCCUCUCUAAGAUGUGCAGUAUGGCUCCCCUACCUUUCAGCCAUUUGAAAAAGUUGAUUUCCAGCUUAAAGAUUCAUAGUUAUCCCCAUCAGCUUUAAAUGUUCAGCAAGUAGCUUCAGUUGUAGAGCCAGCCUAGUGCUUCAGCAAACAGACCAUUGACCUGCUGGAGCCACCCAGUAACUCCCCAAAGUCUGCAGGCAAGUUACAUGCAUGUCUUUUUCUGAGGUAUUAUCCCAUCAACGUGCAGUCACUGCAUUAGUACAACAAAAGCCUGUACUGUGCAAUGAAUUCUCAGUCAAACUGAAGCACUCUUCUGAUGUUCCAGGCAGGGAAAACUGUGAUUCAACACCCAAAAUCAGCCACCUCAGAGACCGGGUCACCUCACUGGUUAUGCAGAUAGAUUGAGUGGGGAACCUCACCAAUUCUGGCAUUUAUCAUGUUGGACUACUUGGCCAUAGUUGUAAUGACCUGAAACUUUAAACAUGUAUCAUUUAUUCCCUCAAGCCUACAGAACUGAAGGUUUUGAAUUUUUUAACAUAACCCCAAUAGGCUGGAGCUGAAUGAAUGACUAUGCAAUGGUCACAGUAAAAGACCAUUUCACCAUGUUUAUUAUCACAGGCACGCCACAUUUGCUGAUCCAAUACAAUGUAACAAGGGCAAUCAGAAAUGCAGAACUACUAACCUCAUAAACCCAUGUUUUCUUGGUGCCACUUCAGUAAUCCCAGGGCACUGAAUUGUAAAGCUUGAUUCUGUUACAUUAAGAGACUUAGUAACCUCAGAAGUCCUUUGACUCAUCAUCAGCCCAACAAUGUAGAAUUGUUGAGUAGGUAUUAAAACAUGGAGACGUGUAGGCAUAUAAGUUCCUUUCAUUUGCAUCCUUCUAGGCUAGAUGAGUUUGGCUGCUUCAGAGCUUGCAUCUUGACUGCCUGGGGAAUUCUGGUCUAAUCUGACUGGGGAAUCUGCAGUGGGAAUAGCACAGUGCUUACCUGAGUUGUUUAUGCAGGUCCAAAUCACUGGCGCAGGUGUGUGAAGCAGCACUGGUCCCUGAUGGGAGAAUUGUCUGGCUGGGAAUUUCCUACAGUCUCACUUUCUCAAUAACAUCUGCCCCUCUGGGAUCCUUCCUGCUAAUCAAGGAGAAACAGAAGACUCAGUCACAUUUCCCUCAUGACCGGAUUCAAGAAAAGAGAAACAAUACUGCUUUUUUCACCCCUGCUAUGAGACACAGAAAAUGGCUAGUCAUGGAGCAGAGAGUAGUGUUUUAGCUUUGCCUGUUGAUAAAUCUCUUUAUAAUGGGACCCUAUUCUGAAUGCAAGGGGGAGCCUAAGCUUUAUAUCUCUUAGCACAUCUUUUGUCCUUUAAUACCUACACUCAGAUAUAACAUUGUUAUAUAAACUUACGUGCGUUAUUCCAAAA